CCUACGGGAGGCAGCAGUGGGGAAUAUUGCACAAUGGGGGAAACCCUGAUGCAGCGACGCCGCGUGAGUGAUGACGGCCUUCGGGUUGUAAACCUCUUUCAGUAGGGAAGAAGCGAAAGUGACGGUACCUGCAGAAGAAGCGCCGGCUAACUACGUGCCAGCAGCCGCGGUAAU
rnacentral:rRNA from 1 species